UACGUAGGGCGCAAGCGUUGUCCGGAAUUAUUGGGCGUAAAGAGCUCGUAGGCGGUUUGUCGCGUCGGCUGUGAAGACCUGGGGCUCAACCCCGGGCCUGCAGCCGAUACGGGCAAACUAGAAUUCGGUAGGGGAGACUGGAAUUCCUGGUGUAGCGGUGAAAUGCGCAGAUAUCAGGAGGAACACCGGUGGCGAAGGCGGGUCUCUGGGCCGAUAUUGACGCUGAGGAGCGAAAGCGUGGGGAGCGAACAGG
rnacentral:rRNA from 1 species